rnacentral:rRNA from 3 species
AGACCCGAAACCCGGUGAUCUAGCCAUGGGCAGGUUGAAGGUUGGGUAACACUAACUGGAGGACCGAACCGACUAAUGUUGAAAAAUUAGCGGAUGACCUGUGGCUGGGGGUGAAAGGCCAAUCAAACCGGGAGAUAGCUGGUUCUCCCCGAAAGCUAUUUAGGUAGCGCCUCGUGAAUUCAUCUCCGGGGGUAGAGCACUGUUUCGGCUAGGGGGCCAUCCCGGCUUACCAACCCGAUGCAAACUGCGAAUACCGGAGAAUGUUAUCACGGGAGACACACGGCGGGUGCUAACGUCCGUCGUGAAGAGGGAAACAACCCAGACCGCCAGCUAAGGUCCCAAAGUCAUGGUUAAGUGGGAAACGAUGUGGGAAGGCCCAGACAGCCAGGAUGUUGGCUUAGAAGCAGCCAUCAUUUAAAGAAAGCGUAAUAGCUCACUGGUCGAGUCGGCCUGCGCGGAAGAUGUAACGGGGCUAAACCAUGCACCGAAGCUGCGGCAGCGAACGUAUCACCCAAGACAACUUUACGGAGUUGACGAUUGACGGAGCGAAGCGACGUCAAAGCGUUCAUUAAAGUCGAGUUGGCUUAGGGAUACGUUCGUUGGGUAGGGGAGCGUUCUGUAAGCCUGUGAAGGUGUGUCGUGAGGCAUGCUGGAGGUAUCAGAAGUGCGAAUGCUGACAUAAGUAACGAUAAAGCGGGUGAAAAGCCCGCUCGCCGGAAGACCAAGGGUUCCUGUCCAACGUUAAUCGGGGCAGGGUGAGUCGACCCCUAAGGCGAGGCCGAAAGGCGUAGUCGAUGGGAAACGGGUUAAUAUUCCCGUACUUGGUGUUACUGCGAAGGGGGGACGGAGAAGGCUAUGUUGGCCGGGCGACGG